GCAGCGCCAACGUACCGAAAUUCUAAAAUUGGCUGGAAAUGGUUUAUAACUCCGAUUUUGGAGUUUUUAGAGUAUUUUUAAGUACUUGCAGCGUCUUUUAAUCUCUGAAGAAAAAUUCAAUGAACCUGGGGACAACAAGAAGGCACAACUGAAAGUUUAGCAUUUCUAACAUCGAUUCGAGUAAGAAUUUUUUAUUGUAUUCUUUGUUAUGGAAUUAAAAUUUAAUUAUAAAUAAUGUGGUAUUUU
rnacentral:lncRNA from 1 species